UCAGCUUCCCCACAACCACUCCAAAGAACAGAGCUUUGGGUAUUGCUUCAAUAAAAACGUGUAGCUGCAGUUUAAGAACCACUGCAUUCUUUAGGAUCGGUUUAUAAUAACUCAUCAUACCACAAAGAAUCACAGUUUAAGGCCAUCUAUCAUGUGCACUGUGUAGUAAACAAGACCUUGCCCACAGCUCCCCCAUCAAGCCACCUCCAAGCGUGGACUGCCAGACCCACCAGAGAAGACUAUACAACUUCAGUAUAAAUUUCCUGGUUUCUGAUGUGAUCUGCAAAAAAAGGUCUUAUAAACCUGAAAUGGAUAAAGGCAAUGCUAAAUAGAAAGAGGGAUGAGAAAAAGUGGUAAGCUCAGCCCCAUCUCUACUGAUUGACUCCGAUUCUCAGCUUUGGCAGUAAUAGUUAGCU
rnacentral:lncRNA from 1 species